UACGGAGGGUGCGAGCGUUGUCCGGAAUCACUGGGCGUAAAGGGCGCGUAGGCGGCUGGGGAAGUCGGCGGUGAAAGCCCGGAGCUCAACUCCGGGUCGGCCGUCGAGACUCCUCGGCUCGAGCUCACUAGAGGCAGAUGGAAUUCCGGGUGUAGCGGUGGAAUGCGUAGAGAUCCGGAAGAACACCGGUGGCGAAGGCGGUCUGCUGGGGUGAGGCUGACGCUGAUGCGCGACAGCGUGGGGAGCGAACGGG
rnacentral:rRNA from 1 species